GAUGAACGCUGGCGGCGUGCUUAACACAUGCAAGUCGAACGGAAAGGCGCCUUUCUGGCUCCUCUAGCGGCGGACGCGGGCGUAAGACUAAAGUAACCUGCACUUGACUAUGGGAUAAGUUCAACAUCCUGGAACUAGUACCGGAUAGGAAUCCUUGCUUCAUGGUGGUGGUUCGAAAGCUUCGGCGGUUUUUGAUGUACUCGCGCCUUAUCAGCUAGUUGGUAGGGUAGUUGCUUAACUAGGCUAUGAUGCGUAGCCGACCUGAGAGGGCGACCGGCCACACGGGAACUGAGCCACGGUCCAGACUCCUACGGGAGGCAGCAGUAGGGAAUCGUCCGCAAUGGGCGGAAGCGUGACGGAGCAACGCCGCGUGAGUGAUGAAGGUCUGCGGAGCGUAAAACUCUGUUAUUAGGGAAGAACAAAUGUGUAAGUAACUAUGCACGUCUUGACGGUACCGAAUCAGAAAGCCACGGCUAACUACGUG
rnacentral:rRNA from 1 species